rnacentral:rRNA from 1 species
GUGGGCAACCUGCCCAAAAGAGGGGGAUAACACUUGGAAACAGGUGCUAAUACCGCAUAACCAUAGUUACCGCAUGGUAGCUAUGUAAAAGGUGGCUAUGCUACCGCUUUUGGAUGGGCCCGCGGCGCAUUAGCUAGUUGGUGGGGUAAAGGCUUACCAAGGCAAUGAUGCGUAGCCGAACUGAGAGGUUGAUCGGCCACAUUGGGACUGAGACACGGCCCAAACUCCUACGGGAGGCAGCAGUAGGGAAUCUUCCACAAUGGGCGAAAGCCUGAUGGAGCAACGCCGCGUGGGUGAAGAAGGUCUUCGGAUCGUAAAACCCUGUUGUUAGAGAAGAAAGUGCGUGAGAGUAACUGUUCACGUUUCGACGGUAUCUAACCAGAAAGCCACGGCUAACUACGUGCCAGCAGCCGCGGUAAUACGUAGGUGGCAAGCGUUAUCCGGAUUUAUUGGGCGUAAAGGGAACGCAGGCGGUCUUUUAAGUCUGAUGUGAAAGCCUUCGGCUUAACCGGAGUAGUGCAUUGGAAACUGGGAGACUUGAGUGCAGAAGAGGAGAGUGGAACUCCAUGUGUAGCGGUGAAAUGCGUAGAUAUAUGGAAGAACACCAGUGGCGAAAGCGGCUCUCUGGUCUGUAACUGACGC